rnacentral:ncRNA from 3 species
UACGGAGGAUGCGAGCGUUAUCCGGAUUUAUUGGGUUUAAAGGGAGCGUAGACGGGAUGUUAAGUCAGCUGUGAAAGUUUGGGGCUCAACCUUAAAAUUGCAGUUGAAACUGGCAUUCUUGAGUGCGGCAGAGGCAGGCGGAAUUCGUGGUGUAGCGGUGAAAUGCUUAGAUAUCACGAAGAACUCCGAUUGCGAAGGCAGCUUGCUGGAGCGUAACUGACGUUGAUGCUCGAAAGUGUGGGUAUCAAACAGG